rnacentral:rRNA from 1 species
UAGGGAAUCUUCGGCAAUGGACGAAAGUCUGACCGAGCAACGCCGCGUGAGUGAAGAAGGUUUUCGGAUCGUAAAACUCUGUUGGUAGAGAAGAACGUUGGUGAGAGUGGAAAGCUCAUCAAGUGACGGUAACUACCCAGAAAGGGACGGCUAACUACGUGCCAGCAGCCGCGGUAAUACGUAGGUCCCGAGCGUUGUCCGGAUUUAUUGGGCGUAAAGCGAGCGCAGGUGGUUUAUUAAGUCUGGUGUAAAAGGCAGUGGCUCAACCAUUGUAUGCAUUGGAAACUGGUAGACUUGAGUGCAGGAGAGGAGAGUGGAAUUCCAUGUGUAGCGGUGAAAUGCGUAGAUAUAUGGAGGAACACCGGUGGCGAAAAGCGGCUCUCUGGCCUGUAACUGACACUGAGGCUCGAAAGCGUGGGGAGCAAACAGGAUUAGAUAGCCCUGGUAGUCCACGCCGUAAACGAUGAGUGCUAGAUG